ACGACGCUGGCGGCGUGCUUAACACAUGCAAGUCGAACGAGGUGAUUGAAAGCUUGCUUUGAGAACCGAGUGGCAAACGGGUGAGUAACGCGUAGACAACCUGCCGCAAAGAUGGGGACAACAGUCCGAAAGGACUGCUAAUACCGAAUGUUGUCAGAUUCCCGCAUGGGAGACUGAUUAAAGGUGGCCUCUACUUGUAAGCUAUCGCUUUGCGAUGGGUCUGCGUCUGAUUAGCUGGUUGGUGGGGUAAUGGCCUACCAAGGCGACGAUCAGUAGCCGGUCUGAGAGGAUGAACGGCCACAUUGGAACUGAGACACGGUCCAGACUCCUACGGGAGGCAGCAGUGGGGAAUCUUCCGCAAUGGGCGAAAGCCUGACGGAGCAACGCCGCGUGAGUGAAAGAAGGGUUUCGGCUCGUAAAGCUCUGUUGACGGGGACGAAUGUGCGAGAUGCGAAUAGUUUCUUGCAAUGACGGUACCCGUCGAGGAAGCCACGGCUAACUACGUGCCAGCCGCGGC
rnacentral:rRNA from 1 species